AUUGAACGCUGGCGGAAUGCUUUACACAUGCAAGUCGAACGGCAGCACGGACUUCGGUCUGGUGGCGAGUGGCGAACGGGUGAGUAAUGUAUCGGAACGUGCCCAGUCGUGGGGGAUAACGUAGUGAAAAUUACGCUAAUACCGCAUACGAUCUAUGGAUGAAAGCGGGGGAUCGCAAGACCUCGCGCGAUUGGAGCGGCCGAUAUCAGAUUAGGUAGUUGGUGGGGUAAAGGCCCACCAAGCCAACGAUCUGUAGCUGGGCUGAGAGGACGACCAGCCACACUGGAACUGAGACACGGUCCAGACUCCUACGGGAGGCAGCAGUGGGGAAUUUUGGACAGUGGGCGCAAGCCUGAUCCAGCCAUUCCGCGUGCAGGAUGAAGGCCCUCGGGUUGUAAACUGCUUUUGUACAGAACGAAAAGGUUUCUACUAAUACUAGGAGCUCAUGACGGUACUGUAAGAAUAAGCACCGGCUAACUACGUGCCAGCCGCCGCGGUAA
rnacentral:rRNA from 1 species